ensembl:lncRNA
UUUUUUUUUUUUUUUUUGCUUUUUAGGGCCACACCUGCGGCAUAUGGAGGUUCCCAGGCUAGGGGUCUAAUCAGAGCUGUAGCCACUGGCCUACGCCAGAGCCCUACCAGCAACACCAGAUAGAGCCUUGUCUGCGAACCACACCACAGCUCACGGCAACACCAGAUCCUUAACCCACUGAGCAAGGCCAGGGAUUGAACCCGCAACCUCAUGGUUCCUAGUUGGAUUCUUUUCCGCUGCACUAUGGCGGGAAGUCCCCAAGUACAUGACUUUAUAUUUUAUUUCAUGCCAUUAACAUAGUGGAUCUUGCCUUUGGAUAUGAAAAACUACAUCUGCUUUAAUAAUUUUACCCUCUUCCCUUCUUGCCUCACCAUCCAUUGGCAGUCUUCCCCAAUCUAGAAGUUCAAUUAAUCCUUCACUGUACAGGCUCUCCCACACACUAGACCUAAUCUUCUAGUAAAUAGAUACAUAUUUUUACCUAGAUUUAUAUCCCCACACCCCCAGACUCAAUAUAAUGAGUACUAAACUUGUACACUGUCCUCUGGAACCUUUUUGUUAAUGUUACCAACACCCUCCUUAGUUAUAUAUAGAUUCAAUCACUGCUGGUGUUCUUGACAUUUCUCUCUCCCUUGCCUCCUACAUCCAUUUAAUAAUAAUAACAAUUUUUGACAUCUAUUCAGCACUUUCCAUGUGCCAAGCCCUAAGUACUUGAUAUUUCAUUCUCAGAACAAUUCUAUGAGUUGGGUUGUUAUGAUUCCCAUUUUACAGUUGGAACAACCAUGUACAGAGAAAUUAGGCAGCUUCCUUAAGUCAUGAGACUCAUACACGGAAGAGGUGGGAUUCAAAUCCAUGCAAUCUAGCUCUGUAAUGCAGGUUCUUAGCCACUGCAUGCAACCAAUUACUUAAUUGAUAUGUAUUAUAAUUUCUACUUCUAGAGUAGAUUUGUAUCCAUCCAGUCACCUCUCUUCUUACCUUAUUACAAGCUCUCAUUACCUCUUGCCAGGACUACUACCAUAGUAGUUUAUUUUUUUAUUUUUUAUUUUUUAUUUUUGUCUUUUUGCCAUUUCUUGGGCCACUCCCACGGCAUAUGGCGUUUCCCAGCCUAGGAGCUCCAUAUGCUGUGGGUAUGGCCCUAAAAAGCCAAAAAGAAAAAAAAAUUCUCUCGUAUGGAAGCAUACAUUGUGGGUUUAUUUUGAAAAUGUUUUUUACAACAUAAUUCCCCAUUGUUUAUGUGAAAUUACAGGGCUUUUGAAUAUGAAGAAGAAAUUCUUUACUCACUGCCAUUAGGACCUUUGCUUGGGGGUGUGUUUACAGCCCUAUGUGUAUCUUCUGUGGUUCUUCCUUUUCCGAAGAUGUGAAUUUGCACCCUGACUAUCUGUAGCUAUAAGUACUGGCUACAGAACCUUUUUUUUUUUUUUUUUUUUCCUUUUUACAAAGCUAACUAGCUCAUACAAGAAUCAGACUCAUGACCUUUUCCUCAUUAGCACCAUAAGCUAACCAACUCUGACAUGUAGAAAUUACACAAGUGACAAAUCAUAAGAGAAAACAGAACUAAAAUAUGGCCUUUUGGGAAAUAAUUUUCUUAAAGAACAUAUCCAAAAUGAGACCUGCAUUUAGCAGCUUAUAUCAAAUUCUUGAUCCUGCAGAGUUGCUUGCUUUAAGAGUGAAAAACAAUGCAAUAGCUUAUUGAAAGCAAGAAAGUUGUCCUGACAUACUGUUUUCUUUUUUUUUAUAAUGUAAAUUUAUGUAGAAACAGAGCUCUAACCAGCUGUCAAUAAUUUGUUUUUGUCAAUUUUCCUGUAGAUUUUUGUUCAUGGAAAUAGCACUAGUGGCAAACAUGACUGAGUGGGUGAGUGAAAGUAUCCUACACAAUUCCCUAUACUACUCUACCAGUUUAUUUUAGUGAUGUGUAAGUGCACUGAUUUUUUUUUUCCAGUGUUCUCAGACUAAAGCAGAGUACAAGUAAAAACUGCUGUGGUUCUAUUUGUUUUGAUGAAUGGAGAGAUGCCAAAUAUUAUCAUGGGGGUGAUUUUUUUCCCCCUAAGAUAAGCAUUGCUAUUACUAUUAUAAUUUUGUUUCCACCUUACAAAAUACGGGAUGGAAUUCAAUCAAGUUUUUAUUGUGAAAAGUAAGCCUAGUCCUGAUUCUUUUGUGAAUUUCAUGACUUUGGGAAAAUUCUUUAUUUUUAUACCAUAUUUAACCACCCUAACCCCUUAAUAUAAGGAUACCAUGGUAUUGAGUUGGAUAUAAGAAUUAACAUUUUUAUCAAUGAAUCUUCUGGACAAACAAAAAUAGAACACAUUUGUGCCAUCAUAGUUGUUUCAGGGGUCAAGUGCAAGUGUUAAGUCCUGUACGUAAUUCUGCUUAUGAUUUUGAGGACUUAAAGCAUAUUGCUUCAGUUAUAACUAAGACUGUAUUUCCUGACUCUUUCUGGUUGUUAUCAUAACUAAAUUAAUUUUAUCCUCAAACCCUGAUGCUAAGCAUUUUGAAUUUAUUAAGUAGUCGAAAUUUUAAUAAAUAAUGAACAUGAUAUAAAUGAAUUUUAUUUGGUUUGUAAAAUAGACACAUGGAUUAAAAGUGACACCUGACAUUAUUGAUAACAAGGAAUAGUCAGCAGAGUUUUAUUAUCAUUUCCUUAUUUUUUCAAUAUGGAAAUGAAUUUAUAGGAUACAUACAACAUAGUUUAACUUUAGUUACAUUUAAAGGAAUGAAAAUGAAAUAAGAUUUAAGAAAUCAUGCUUGCAAAACUCAUUUGAAUAAGUCAGAAAUGUAGAAAUUCAUCAUUAGGCAGCCCAGGAUAUAUAAUUUGUUAUUAAACAAUCUGUAAAAUUAUAGGUCUGAUGUAUGUUAAUUUACAGUUACUUUCUUCCCUCUUUCUGGGUUUGUACCUGUCAGACAAACUAAAAAGAGUGUUAAUUUACUAGCCUACCUGCCUUGUGAGGUUCACCACAGUUUUGAGGUAGACUAGAAAAGAGCUAUAAAAAGGGAAAGUAACAAGAGCCAUUUGUGAGCACUAAAUCAGCCAAUUAAAAAGGACCUAGCCCAGAUGUGGCCUAUAAUGUCCCAUAAGUAAUAAUAAUAGUUAGCAUUUGGAGUUCCCAUUAUGGUUCAGCAGUUUAAGAACCCGACUAGUAUUUGUGAGGAUGUGGUUCAAUCCCUGGCUUGCUCAGUGGGAUAAGAAUCUGGCAUAGCCAUGAGCUAUGGUGUAGGCCGGCCGCUACAGCUCCAAUUUGACCCCUAGCCUGGGAACUGGGAACAGGUUCAGUCCUAACAAAAAAAAA